rnacentral:rRNA from 1 species
UACGGAGGAUCCAAGCGUUGUCCGGAUUUAUUGGGUUUAAAGGGUGCGUAGGCGGAUUUUUAAGUCAGUGGUGAAAGCCUGUAGCUCAACUACAGAAUUGCCAUUGAAACUGAAAGUCUUGAAUACGGUUGAGGUAAAUGGAAUGUGUCAUGUAGCGGUGAAAUGCUUAGAUAUGAUACAGAACACCAAUUGCGAAGGCAGUUUACUAAACCGUUAUUGACGCUGAGGCACGAAAGCGUGGGGAGCGAACAGG